rnacentral:rRNA from 1 species
UGCGUAGGUGGUGAGGUAAGUCGGAUGUGAAAGCUCGGAGCUCAACUCCGAAAUGGCAUUGGAAACUACCUUGCUAGAGGGUUGGAGGGGGGACUGGAAUGCUUGGUGUAGCAGUGAAAUGCGUAGAUAUCAAGCGGAACACCAGUGGCGAAGGCGAGUCCCUGGACAACUCCUGACACUGAGGCACGAAAGCUAGGGAGCAAACA